rnacentral:rRNA from 1 species
CCUACGGGUGGCAGCAGUGGGGAAUAUUGGACAAUGGGCGAAAGCCUGAUCCAGCCAUGCCGCGUGUGUGAAGAAGGCCUUCGGGUUGUAAAGCACUUUCAGUGGGGAAGAAAGCCUUGGGGCUAAUACCCUCGAGGAAGGACAUCACCCACAGAAGAAGCACCGGCUAACUCCGUGCCAGCAGCCGCGGUAAUACGGAGGGGGCGAGCGUUAAUCGGAAUUACUGGGCGUAAAGCGCGCGUAGGCGGUCUGAUAAGCCGGUUGUGAAAGCCCCGGGCUCAACCUGGGAACGGCAUCCGGAACUGUCAGGCUUGAGUGCAGGAGAGGAAGGUAGAAUUCCCGGAGUAGCGGUGAAAUGCGUAGAUAUCGGGAGGAAUACCAGUGGCGAAGGCGGCCUUCUGGACUGACACUGACGCUGAGGUUCGAAAGCGUGGGUAGCAAACAGGAUUAGAUACCCGUGUAGUC